rnacentral:rRNA from 1 species
UACGUAGGCAGCAAGCGUUGUUCGGAGUUACUGGGCGUAAAGAGUGCGUAGGCGGUCCUCUAAGUUUGGUGUGAAAUCUCCCGGCUCAACCGGGAGGGUGCGCCGAAAACUGGGGGGCUUGAGUGCCGGAGAGGAUAGCGGAAUUCCUGGUGUAGCGGUGAAAUGCGUAGAUAUCGGGAGGAACACCUGUGGUGUAGACAGCUAUCUGGACGGCCACUGACGCUGAGGCACGAAAGCGUGGGUAGCAAACAG